ACGAACGCUGGCGGCAGGCUUAACACAUGCAAGUCGAACGCCCCGCAAGGGGAGUGGCGCACGGGUGAGUAACACGUGGGAAUAUGCCUUUCGGUACGGAACAACGUCUGGAAACGGACGCUAAUACCGUAUGGUCCCUUCGGGGUAAAGAUUUAUCGCCACAAGAGUAGCCCGCGUUGGAUUAGCUAGUUGGUAAGGUAAUGGCUUACCAAGGCGACGAUCCAUAGCUGGUCUGAGAGGACGAUCAGCCACACUGGGACUGAGACACGGCCCAGACUCCUACGGGAGGCAGCAGUUAGGAAUAUUGGACAAUGGGCGCAAGCCUGAUCCAGCCAUGCCGCGUGAGUGAUGAAGGCCUUCGGGUUGUAAAGCUCUUUAGUCCACGAAUAUAAUGACUGUAGUGGAAGAAUAAGCCCCGGCUAACUUCGU
rnacentral:rRNA from 1 species